GGAAAAAUGGCUGAGUGGCUUAAAGCGUAGGUUUGCUAAAUCUUUAGGGAGUUUUAAAACUCCCUCACAGGUUCGAAUCCUGUUUUUUCCG
rnacentral:tRNA from 1 species